UCUCCUGCUGCCACUUCUCCUGCUGCCUCCUGGUUCCUCACCUUGAGCCUGAAAGCCUUAAUCUCCUUAUCCUUGGCUAGAACAACACCCAUUUCCUUGCGCAGCUGGGAGACCAGAGCAUCCAUCUCGGGUUUCGUGGAAGCCGCACCUACCAUCCUCUCCCCGAGAUGGAACAAUUGAGACGCCACCUGCCCAUCAGAUCUAAUCAAUAACCAGAACCAACAGAUCAAAAAGUCACAUGGAGCAUUACCUGAAGCAAGUCACCCUGGAGUUAUUGAAUGGCCACGGAGGAAUCCUCUUCUGAUGCCAGCACGGGAGUCGAAGAAAAUACCUUUGUGUUAAGGUUGGUAAGCACUGUGGCCCAGUCAUAAGAGGCAGAAGGAGAAGAGCCCGACGCCUUGCAUUUCUUCUUAGAAGAGGAAGGAGCAGUAGCGGUAACCGCCAGACGUUUGCUGCUCCUGAGAAACUGAACCACGUCGUCCUCGACAGAGGCAGCUCGCUUGGGAGUGGAUUUCCUCGUAGACAUCACCUCAAAAGCCUUCUUGAACUCCGCUAACGCCUCGUCACCUUUGGAUCCUAACAUC
rnacentral:lncRNA from 1 species